AAAGAUUUAGUUAAAUAAUAACAUUAGCCCGUCAAGCUAAAAUUAUUCAAUAGAAUAAUUUUUG
rnacentral:tRNA from 1 species